rnacentral:lncRNA from 1 species
UUGGUCGUCGCCCUUACGCGGUUAACCACCCUCGGACCUCAGUGGCUGAUUGGAUUUUAUAGCAUUGAUAAUCCAAAGAAAAUGCAUGAACUUUAGUCAUGGAUCACAAUAGCACUCCAGCUAAAAAAGGCCCUCUAAUAUCAUAACUGGAAGAGCAUAAAAAACUUACCCAACUGAGCCUGAGCUUGGAGAUGGAAACUGCAGCCACUCAUUGAAGAGCAAGCCUAGGAAAUUAGUAAAGAAUAUGAUUAUGGGAGUCUGGCGGUGAAAGCAAGCAUAAUAAUAACCAUUCUCAGUAAAGCAACUUCCUUCCUCCUAAAGAACCAUUGCAGUAUUCUAUAUAACAUCCAGAGGAAGAAGAGGAACAAGAAGAAGGAUUAAUCACAGAGUUAGAGCUGAAAAGGACCUCAGGCCAUCUGAUCUAACCCACACAUUUUAUAGAUGAGGACACUGAGUCCCAAGGAGGGAAAUUGAUUUGCCUAAUGUCACCCAGGUAAUAAUUGUCAGACUUGAACUGAGCUCCUCUAAAUCCAGAGACAGUGUUUUCUCUGCUCUACCAUGCUCUCAAUCAAUAAGAUUUAAAAGUCCUUCCCUUUCCUAAUGCUAAUGUAUCUCUCAUAUUAGUAACAAAAGCUACC